rnacentral:rRNA from 1 species
UUAACACAUGCAAGUCGAGGGGCAGCGGGGAGUAGCAAUACUCCGCCGGCGACCGGCGCACGGGUGCGUAACGCGUAUGCAACCUACCUUUAACAGGGGCAUAACACUGAGAAAUUGGUACUAAUUCCCCAUAACAUUCGAGAAGGCAUCUUCUUGGGUUAAAAACUCCGGUGGUUAAAGAUGGGCAUGCGUUGUAUUAGCUAGUUGGUGAGGUAACGGCUCACCAAGGCAACGAUACAUAGGGGGACUGAGAGGUUAACCCCCCACAUUGGUACUGAGACACGGACCAAACUCCUACGGGAGGCAGCAGUGAGGAAUAUUGGUCAAUGGACGCAAGUCUGAACCAGCCAUGCCGCGUGCAGGAAGACAGCUCUAUGAGUUGUAAACUGCUUUUGUACUAGGGUAAACGCUCCUACGUGUAGGAGUCUGAAAGUAUAGUACGAAUAAGGAUCGGCUAACUCCGUGCCAGCAGCCGCGGUAAUACGGAGGAUCCAAGCGUUAUCCGGAUUUAUUGGGUUUAAAGGGUGCGUAGGCGGUUUGAUAAGUUAGAGGUGAAAUACCGGGGCUCAACUCCGGAACUGCCUCUAAUACUGUUGAACUAGAGAGUAGUUGCGGUAGGCGGAAUGUAUGGUGUAGCGGUGAAAUGCUUAGAGAUCAUACAGAACACCGAUUGCGAAGGCAGCUUACCAAACUAUAUCUGACGUUGAGGCACGAAAGCGUGGGGAGCAAACAGG